rnacentral:lncRNA from 1 species
CUAAGCCUGAAGGAAGGAAGAGCAUGGGCUUAGGGGCAGGGAUGGCUCUGGUGAUUUCAGAGUCUCAUCUCCUAAAUCUGAGCUUCCCUGUAGUGCAGAGCUGAGGUUCACAGCAGAAGAUGUGAGGGCCUGUCUCUAGGUCACAGAGAAAAUGGACGUGGUACACUUUGGAAAGCGUGGAACACCUCGCCCUGGCAGGGGCUAGUUUGAACUGGAUCCUGAAAUGCAUGCAGCCUCUCUCAUCUCCUCCCGGGAGUCUCUCCUCCCUGCUUUCCUUGCCUACAUAGCCUCUUUUUCUAGCCAACUUCACCUCCUAAAAGCACUGAGCAUGACCUGCAAGGAGUAGCUGCAUUAGCUUCCCGACCCUUGCCUGCCUCUGUCAUCCACUGGAAGACUCUACAACAACCAGCUCUGCU